CAUUAGGAUUUUCUCAAAUCCAGCAAAUACUAAUAUUGAAUAUUUA
rfam:Cathartes aura contig176291, whole genome shotgun sequence.